GUGAGGACAGUUCCCUUCUGUUAAUAGAGCGAAUAGUGGGCAUGGGGUAGGGCACUGGUCGAGGAGGACAGCCCAGGACCUACACACAUCCACUGUUUCCUUUGGCAAAAUGAGGUUCCUGACCCCAGCAUGGGGAAUUAUUGGAAUCGUCAAAUGGGAGAGUUCAGAGCGUUGAAAGGACUUGCUCAAGGUGGGAGCUGGUGGUGCAAAAAGGGAGCAAUCCCAGUGCAACACCUUUCACAUAGUGCCUACCACGUACCCGCCCCAGGUCCCACACGGAGGUGCAGAGAGGCGGAGGAAACUGCACAGGUAUGAAGAAACUGAGGCACAGACGACUUCAAAUAACUUACCCAAGGCCCUCAGUGAUGGAGCCAGGAUUAAAACCCAAGGGUUCUGACACUGGAGCUGACAUUCCUGACCGUGGGCUGACUUCACAGAAAGCAUGGCCUUAGAA
rnacentral:lncRNA from 1 species